rnacentral:snoRNA from 1 species
ACCCUCCAGUUUCCUUGCCACUCAGAUCGACAUAUUGGUUGGAGUCGCUAAACAAAGAGGACAAAUAAAACAGAAGGGGACUUGAAGCCUUUUAUGACAUACAAGUUCCUUUCAAACAAAU